ACUUACAUUAGGGAAACUAUUCGGUAUUCAUACAUGUUUUUUCCCUGCAGGCCCUACUGCCUGUUUUUAAUUUCCUACUGCUAGGAACGGCAGGCUGGUUUGCACAUUUCCUGCCGGUGGGAGCAAAUCAAGAGGUAGGGGGUGUUGGAUUAGUUUUCUUGAAAAGUCUCUGUUUUCCUCUUCUGCCCUCUAUUUCUAACUUCAUGUUCUAAUAGGCCAGCCUCACGCUGGCAGCUGGCCUUGUCAGAUGGACUUGUGCUUAGGAAUUGGUACCUCUGUACUUUAGUGGUUUCUAAUCUCUGGUCUGACUUACGUUUUGGCACACUCGAGGGGUCCCAAGGUUUUUUUUUUUUUUUGUGUGUGUGUGUGUGUGUCUUUUUCCUUUUUGUUGGUACCAGGGAUUGAACUCACGACUGCCUGCUUGCAAGGCAGGCGCUUAUGCUGCUGAGCUAAACCUCCAGCCCCUGGGGGGGUCCCAAGGUUUACUUAGAAAAGUAAGAGGCCUCAUUUUGACUCCCCAUUCUACCCAGCUAUGAUCCAAACUUUACUUUAAAUUUGGCCAUUUGUCUGUCUACUAAUAAAAUGGUAUUGAGAUUGAGGAUUUCACUGGAGACAUACUGAGCUGACUGGGAGAAGGCGGCUGGAAGGGUUUGGAUUUGAGGGUUUUUUUUUUUUUUUAUUUGUUUGUUCUUUUUGAGAAAGCUAUGGUGUACUUAAGGCUGACUUUGAACUCACUUCAUAGCCCAAGCUGGCCUGGAACUUAGCAGUUCUCCUGCUUCAGCCUUCCAAGUGCUAGGCUUACAGGCAUGCAUCACUGUGGCCAGCUGGUUUGAAAUUUAAACCAAACACUAUUUUUGAGGACAGAUUAUUAUUUUCUAGCUUUUAAAGCCAUGGACAUGUCUUAUAAGAGGUUGCAUUAUUAAGAAAUUCCUAAAAGAAAAAUGAAGCACAAGAACUUUGAAAUGUUGGAACUUUUUAUGACAUUAAAAACCAGUUUUUUAAGACAAGAAUUUGUAAAUAUAACUUGAGCAAGAUUUUGCAACUAUAAUUUACCUCUAGGCUUGGUAAGUGAAUAACUAUUGCCAUUCAAGUUAUAAGUGAUGAAAAGCUGUGAAAGACAAUUCCAAAGAAGUGAAAACAAUGUUAUAGUCAACGCAUGUAAUAAAUUCUUAUUUUGACCCUAAGGAGCUAUACCUUCUAUGCUAACAGCAAUUGUAUUGUUUUUUGUCCUUAGUUAUUUAAAGAAUACUGGUUUGAAGAGGUGCCAGAUGACUCCUUUCCCAAGGCCCCCAUGUGACCUGACCUGGUCCUUUCUCAGCCUCUUUCCACCCUGUCCUCUGUCCCCUGCUACCUGCUGCACAGCAUGGCCCUGCCCUCCUCUGCCCUGAGCCUCCUGGAAAGAGAGGCCACUGACGGAGAGGCAGGUGUGGAAAGGAGCGUAAGGAUAUGAACUAAGACGAGGAGGGAGAAGUCCGCUUUUCUGUUUAAAAAAAAAAAAAAAUCGUGUGUUACUGAACUACUCAAACACAUGAUAGGCAUUUGCUCUCUAGAGACCAAGGGUGAUAAGCCUUACGCACGAGCCAACCAUGUCAAAUGACACUGGUUCCACGCAUUCCUGCUCACUUCAUUUCUGUUCAAUGGGCAAUAAGUGAAUAAAGACAGACAUGAAGAUUUAUAUAUAAAAUAAUUUUUAGAAAAUGUAUCUCUUUUAGAACACAGCUGGAAAAGGGGCUUGGGCGGAGGUGCAGGUUUUGAGGUAUGAAGGCAUGGAGUGUCUUACCCAGUCCAUUGUCCACCUGCCCUCCUCCCCAGCAUUUCAAGAGAACCUCCAACAUGCAGAAACUUUUACUUUUGGAAAUUGAAAAUUAGAAAACUGAUCUGUUUGUGUAAGUAAAACCCUUCAAGCUACCUCUUACCUAAGAUCACAAAGGAAAGGAGUCAGACUCAAAAACAAGAGAUCAACAGAUUAAACACCUGCUUAGUAUUCUAAUAGCCUCCAUUAAAAACCCUUACUUUAAAAAGUAAACAGUUAAGAGAUACUCAUCAAGGUGGAUAGCCUUUAGUGCAGAAAUUUGUGAUGUGGCUGGGUGGCACCACCUGAAAUCCUGGAGAAGGAGCUGGAGCUCCCCAGUCAUUCAAGACACACCCGCCUGGCUCACUGCGCCUGGCUCCCCACAGGAUGCGUCUGCCUCCUGAUACACAUCAACUUUCUUAUGUUAAUGAAUGCUUCUGAUGAAAUUGAGGGUAUUUUUGUUUUAAAAUAUAGUUAUUAGCCUUUAGGUCAGGAUCCUUUGGAGAGGGGGGCAGGGUAAGGAUUGUUUGCAAGCCAGAGUAGGGUCAUCCAAGCAGAUACUCGUGAUGUCUCCAGGACUGAGCCCCUUUCUAAUGCUCAGAUCUUGAUUUCUGUUCACUGCCCCCUUUCCCUUUGAGCGCUUCAUCUUCCUGUUGAGGGCCCGGAGCUUAGUAGCUUCACUAAGAUGUUCUGUUUCUUUGCUUGAUAAUUUAAUUUGGCACUAUAAUGAAGUAGAAAAACACAGGUUUUGUAGUUGAGAAAACUUGUUUUAAAUCCUGACUGCAACACUAACUGGUGGUCUGACUUGGGUAAUGAACUCUCUGAGGAAUCUUCCUUUUUAGGAAAAAGGAUCCAUAUCAAAAUAUGGUUGGAAAUCGUAAUGAUUGUAGGAAAUCAUAGUGCUGGUUCCACAACAUUGUGAAUAUACUUAAUGACAUAGAAUUAUGUACUUAACUAAAUGACUAAAAUGGGAAUUUUAUAUGAAAUAAAAUACAGAUAGCAUAUAUAUUGUAUAUAUUCAUAUAUAUGUAUGAAAUAAAAAUAUGUACUAAAAGAACUAGUUUCAUUUUGGUUUUUGGUGGUAUUUAGGGCUUUUCACUGAGCUCCAUGCUCAGCCUUUUUAUUUUUUAUUUUGUGACAGGCUUUCCCUAAGUCUCUAAAUUGUGUAGGCUGGGUAAUCUCGCUUCAGUCUUCCAGAGUGCUGGGAUUACAGGUAUGCACCACCAUACCUGGCUAGGUUGUGAGAAUUAGUCUUUGUGCAAUACCCAUUACAAUACCUGGCACAUAAUAGUCACUCAACAAGUAGUAGUUGUUAUAGCAUUGGACAUUUUAUGCUGCAAAUAACAAAAAAUAACAAACUGGCUUAAACAAUAAGAGAAUGUAUUGAUGUAUGAAACAGAAUGGCCCAGAACUAGGACAGAAUUUUGGGUUAGUUCAGGUUCUCUAAGCUGUCAUUAGCAAUUCCAGUGUGUCACUAAGGACUCAAUUAUUUUUUACCUUUCCACCCUACUCCAGUGUCAGCUUUAUCCCACAGUUAGCAACCCUCGUGAUCACAAGAUGGCUGCCAACAGCUCCAAAGAGAUGCAUGCUCCCUUGUCUGACUUCUAGGAUUACCUGGUCCUAGGAUUCCAGCAAGUAUCCUGCUCUGGCACCUGGAAUCAAAAGCCGUGCAGAAGAAAAUAGAAUGUAUUGAGCAUGGUGUUGCAUGCCCGUAAUCUCUGCUACUCAGAAGUUUGAGGCAGGAGGAUUAAAAGUUCCAAGAGGCCAUUCUAGGCAACUUACUGAUACUCCAUCUCAAAAUAAAGUUUGAAGAAUGCUAGAGGAAACUGGAAGUGUAGCUUAGUAGUAGAGCCUUGCCUAGUAUAUGUGAGGCCCUGGCUUCAGUCCCCAGCAUGGUGGCAAGGAUGAAGAAGAUGGAAUGUGAUGGUGACAACUAACCAUGGAAUGGUUCGGCUUCUGGGUAAGCAGGGAAUAAGCUACAUAGGGAGGAGUGAUUUCCCCAAAGGGCAGUCAAGCUACUGUUCUACCGGUGAGAGAAGGCAGGCUAUUGCAUGAAGUAGGCAACCAGAAAAUAUAUGCUUUAAUAGCUAUUAUCAGUAUUACUGGCUUUCUUGGCUCUUAGCCUUCAGCUCUUGGCUACUUCUUUGGAAAUCAUUUUUUAAAAAAUCUAAGAGCUCUUAUUUCAAGUAAUCAUGGCCUUUCUAGCAAAGAAAGAUCAGUGAGUAUAAAAGUAAGUUUAAUGACUUGGGUGUUAAGUAUGUGUAACAUCAACCAAACAAGCAGCAAAAAAGCAUUGACCAAAGGAGUUCAACAAGAAUGAAUGCCAGGGUCAGGGAGGCAGGGAGGGGGCUGGCAGAUGGCAGGUUACCAACAUGCCAAACCAAGAGGAAGGCUAGCUAUGCUAUAGGGCAGAGGAUCACCCAACAAAGGGCAGGGACAGUCCCCAAAGCAGAGCCGACAGGAGAAAGAGCUCAUUAAAACCUCGUGUGGACUCCUGCCUGGCUCUGUGCAGCUCUCCUCUGCCCACCUAAGUGAUUUUCUUUUCUUUCUGCCCCAGCCCCCACUUGAUGAGUCACCAGUCAUUGCCAAUUUUAUUUCAUCCCGUUCGCCAAAAAGCCUCUUCCACACUCCUUUGCCUCAUUUCAUCUGGCUAUAUCCAUUGGUUAAGAUGUUAAAUUCUGGUCUGUUCUUUAUGGGGAAGUCUUCCUGUACACCACUACUGAAAGGGUUUUGGCCCAGACAGGAUUCUGUAGUCAGGAAAACCUCAACCGGAAGCAGGAAGCCCCAUCUCCCCUGCCCCUAGGAAGUUACCUGUGACACCAUCUUCCCGCCCCUGGAAAUUUACAUAUGGCGCCAAACCUAGGACCAAUGGGCUACCUGUGUAUCCCUAAUGCCCGCCUUAGGUUCCACCCCAAACCAAGGCUAUUUACAGGCCCCCACGCCACGUGUCCGCCAGAGAGAUCGCCGGACGCCAGCGAUGGGGGUGCCGGUCAUCUCUCUCCGUGUUCUCAGAAUAAAGGCCGCUUUUUAUUUUAUAUUUCUCAUCUUUUGUUAAUAUUUUUCAUCUUUUGGAAAUAACCCUAGCAUUUGGUGCCAUGACUCGAUCGGCAGGCGAUUGACUCCUGGGACACACUCAGUUGAGUCUCCUAGCCGAUAACCAGAUAACAUCCUGGAUUAAUCCUGAGGUUUUUCCUCUCCCAAGACGUUCCUGUCGCCAGCCGCCUGCACUCCGCAUCGGCCAGAUUGAUUUCAGGUGAGCACUCCCCGGGGAACUUUUGGUACUGGGCAGCCCCAGUCAACUGUUCUCCCCGUCUGCGUGGGUCUGUGCAUUUUCACGUCCUUAGGACCUCCCAGGGCAGGGUUCUUUCUGGGCAAACCUGCGUCCACAAAAUCUCUCACGUUCUUUGGGUUCGGAUAGCCCAAAGCAGGGAUUUUUGGGACCGCCCACACUGAAAGAACGCCUCACUUCCCUUAAAGCCUUGCGCUUUCAAGGGCAAAACUGUUACUGAUCCCACGCAGGCUCCACUCCUAAAUCUCUCAGUGACGACUGGAAUUUACGAGUUUUUGGAACCGUAGCCGCUGCGUGGUGCCACAAAUAAGUGACGACUUGUUCUGGACCUCCGGUUUUUUUUCUUGCCUGAAUCAGUCAUGGGGAACAUAUUUUCUAACUCCCAAAAGAUGCCUUUACAAUGCCUAAUUUCCAAUUUACGUACUCUAAAAAUUAAAGGUACCAUAAAAACUAAACAACUAACUUUUUACUGCCAGGAGGUCUGGCCAACCUACCUGCUUAUCGGCAAGCCUUGACCCCAACAAGGAACGUUUGACCCCUGCAUUCUCAGGAACUUGUAUGAUUUUUGUCAAGCUGGCAACAAGUUAUUAGAACUCCCUUAUGUCCAGGCCUUUCUUGUUCUGAGAACACGCCCAUCUCUCAUUAAGUCUUGUGCUCCCACUGAGAUACUUUUAGCUAACUCUACCGCGCCGCAAACUUUUCCGUCCUGCCCUCCGUUGUUUUCCCGGCCACCGCCUACCACCAAACUCAUUCCCUGCCGUUACCUCCCGCCGGACCGCUCUCCCCUCCCCCUAUGCUUGAUUCUCUCAGCAGCUCUAAUCCCUCUCCGUCGCAGAUACCUCCUGCUGUUCGAUCAUCUCCCUCUCCACCUUCCGGGACCCAUAACUCUCCCAGCAGCUCUAAUCCCUCUGUGUCGAAGUUAUCUCCCGAUGUUCCAUCCUCUCCCCCUCCUUCUCCUGGGAUCCAUAACUCUCCCAGCGGCUCUGAUCCCUCUGUUAGCGCUUCCUCGCAGUCUCCAACUUCUUCUCCUGAGAAUUCUCUAUCCCCUACAGCAUUCUCACCGCCCACCCACCAUACUAGGUCUCGGUCGCUAUGUCCUUUCAGCAGGCCGCAUGAUUGUUCCAGCUUGCGCUGGGAACAGUCGCCAUGUUGCAACCCUCUGCCACAUGGCAUGGCGCCGCCAUGUUCAGGAGGGCCACAUGGCGACAGGGCGCCGCCAUGUUUUGGGUCAUGUGACAGGGCACCGCCACAUUCCCAGGACCUCACUGUCAAUGGGCGCCUCCUUGUGGCUCCUCUUGUGAACUGCAACAGCUGCCCUGUUGCAGUGCACAUGAUGCUUCAUUGAGCUGCCGACAGCAAUUUUCUCACUGCAAGGCACACAGUGAGAUGCCAUCUGUUUGUGUUUCCCAGGGUGGCCAGCAGCAGCUCUGUAGCCGCUCUACAGAUGAUUGCUCACAUGCGCCUACUGGAAGGAUGGCUGCUCAAUGGCCCUCUGCUCCGAAAUCUCCUCAGGCUCUGCUACCGCUUCGGGAGCAAGCUGGCCCCAAGGAACUUGUUAACAUCCAUGUGCCUUUUUCCCUUUCUGAUCUAUCCCAGAUUACCCAUCAAUUAGGUAGCUUUUCUGUUGACCCACAGAAUUAUAUCAGGCAAUUUGAAUUCAUUACUAAUUGUUAUGAUUUACAUUUUAAGGAUGUUUAUGGGAUUCUAAAUACCUCUCUCAGCUCACAAGAACGGAAUCAGCUGUGGCAAGCAGCUCAAAAAGAAGCUGAUCACAGACAUGAGGUAAACACCGCUGGUAAUGACCCUGGGCCUAUAGCUGUGCCAGAGCAGGACAAGCAUACUAACUAUAACAAACUUUUAAAACAGGUCCAGGAGGCUAAUAAAAACCCAGCUGUGUUCCUAAAUUGGCUUUCUAAUCCUCGCACCCUGCAAGCAGUUCCAGCUUUGCUCACUGUGUCAGGCCGCCUCCCAGCCCCUCCCCCAUGCGCCGUCCCAGCCCCUCCCUCCCCCAUGCGCCGUCGUCAUCACCGCCGCCAUCUUACACGUUUCGGGGGCAGUCCCAGCCCACCCCUGCAUGCUACGUCCCAGCGCUUGCCCCACCUGCUGGGUGUGCUCUGCUGCAGUGUCGCGAAACAGCAGCUCAGCGGCUCUGCUCAGGCAUGCUUUUUUACAAUUCAGCUCUGCUCAAAAGAUGCUUUUUUUUUUUUAUUACAAUUCUCAAACCAUUUAAUCAAGGUUAUUGGCCACCUGAUAAUUUUACCAGCCUUGUUUAUCAAUCAAAGCCUUCACCAUUCUCCUGUUUAACAACUAAGGUUAUAAAUUCCUUUUUGCUGGGAAUCACUAGCUCUACUUCAAGACAAGGGUUUUCUUCAAAGUUUUAUUUUAUUUGUCUUGGUUUAUACUACUGCAAAUAACAACUUUAAAAGUAAAUGUGUUCAGAAUUUGACAGUAUUAGAUCAGUUUUGAUAGAUUUAUUCAUCAGAUUGCUAUACCUUUACUGAAAAAUGUUUCCAUUAAAGCCUUUUUGGGCAGAUUAAAGCUUUUUGGUUAAUUCUAUGUGUCACCCUAUAAAAAAAAGUGAUAUGCCAUCCAGAUAAAGCCUGCUCUCUAAUCCAAAAUGCCAAUAUUAAACUCCUGCAUACUUACUUAAUUCUACUGUAGUCCAAAUCCCAAACAAAAAGGCAAAACUUGACCUUCAAACCUUAUAGAGUUCUUAAUAUGUUUUUUUAUACUUUUAACACUUGUGACACUUGGAGUUCUGAGACAGGUAAACCUACACAAGGUGGAGCUGCCUGCCCCCUCCAUGGACCAUGCUCAAAUGUAGCAGAAGACAUUGGACAAGAAAAUGCCCCUUCCUGGCAUUCUUUGAGACCUUACUCCAGGGCUACUGGACUGUCCUAGCCACCAGAGAGUGGGUAAGUCAUCCUAAGUUCUAGCCCUCAUAGGAAAUGUCGACACUGCCAGAUUCGUCACCGACAGAAAAUCGCUGCUGAAGACUGAGGGGGUUCAGGGCAACAACAGCCCCUUUAAGGUGUCUGUCUCAGAUUCCAAGUCGCACUAAAGUCUCAGGUAAGACAUUCUCUAUAUUUGUGGACAUAGAGGCCAUGUAUACAGAGUUCUUCCUGAGUAUUUAGGCUGCUAUAUUAAGUCCUCAAUCUCUAUGACAGGGUAUUGAUGGUCAACCUAUGCCAUUUACAUUACAAACAGGGCCUAUUUUGUGCAGUUUCCAGUCUUCUCACUUGGUUUAUACUUUUUCAGGAUACAUAAAAGCCUUUCUCAUACUUGCUAAAGUUCUGUUACAGCAAAUCAUUCCAAGGACUACAACCAGGUUACAGCGACCCAUGCCUAAAUCAAAGUUGCUAGACUGCCAUUCUGGUUUCACAUCACUCAGGCUAAAAGGUGCCCUCCCAGCCCUAAAUGUGAUCAUUCUGAGUGGUCAUCUCAUCUUCUGUCGCCUACCCGUCUCCGUCUCACAAAGGCCUUGCAGCCACAGUUAACAGGCUAAGUCAUGUUUUGUUACCCACUUUGGUUUCUAAUUUCUUACAUUCUAUUAAUGAUCAUUUUUAUGGCAGGACUCUAACAGUAUUGCCUACAGACUCCAACAUUAUGCAUACCAGAGACAAGCCUUACCAACCUACCAUUGACCGGAGCCACGGGAGACAGGAGACCAAACUCGAGCAGGAUCAGCUCUCAAAGUUUAUUGCGUACAGCGAACCGGACCUAACAAGUCUGACAUACGUGCAUUCACCAGUGAAGUUGUCCUGGCUAAAACACCUGGCAGCAGCGUCUACCUGGGCAUCAACCUUCAUCCCAUCGACUCCCCUAGGCUCCAGUACAGCGCCCUUUUCCAGCAGGAAGUAGUUAAAGAGAGAAAUCUUCACCCCUUUUCAUAAUAAUAAUCAUAAGACGGGAUAUGAAAGGGUUUUGGCCCAGACAGGAUUCUGUAGCCAGGAAAACCUCAACCGGAAGCAGGAAGCCCCAUCUCCCCUGCCCCUAGGGAGUUACCUGUGAUGCCAUCUUCCCGCCCCUGGAAAUUUACAUAUGGCACCAAACCUAGGACCAAUGGGCUACCUGUGCAUCCCUAAUGCCCGCCUUAGGUUCCACCCCAAACCGAGGCUAUUUACAGGCCCCCACGCCACGUGUCCGCCUGAGAGAUCGCCGGACACCAGCGGUGGGGGUGCCGGUCAUCUCUCUCUGUGUUCUCAGAAUAAAGGCCACUUUUUAUUUUA